rnacentral:rRNA from 1 species
GAUGAACGCUGGCGGCGUGCCUAAUACAUGCAAGUCGAGCGAACAGACGAGGAGCUUGCUCCUCUGACGUUAGCGGCGGACGGGUGAGUAACACGUGGAUAACCUACCUAUAAGACUGGGAUAACUUCGGGAAACCGGAGCUAAUACCGGAUAAUAUAUUGAACCGCAUGGUUCAAUAGUGAAAGACGGUUUUGCUGUCACUUAUAGAUGGAUCCGCGCCGCAUUAGCUAGUUGGUAAGGUAACGGCUUACCAAGGCAACGAUGCGUAGCCGACCUGAGAGGGGGAUCGGCCACACUGGAACUGAGACACGGUCCAGACUCCUACGGGAGGCAGCAGUAGGGAAUCUUCCGCAAUGGGCGAAAGCCUGACGGAGCAGCGCCGCGUGAGUGAUGAAGGUCUUCGGAUCGUCAAACUCUGUUAUUAGGGAAGAACAAAUGUGUAAGUAACUAUGCACGUCUUGACGGUACCUAAUCAGAAAGCCACGGCUAACUACGUG